CGAGCUUGGUAUUCUGACUGCACAUGCCCAGGUCAAAAGUCACUAUGCAUAAACAUUGCUGGAAAGCAGUGGAGCUGUGUACAUAUACACCUUCAUUUCUUCCGUUUUUUCCAGGUUUGAUUCUUCUAGAUUCUACCACCCAUCUACAUAUGAGGCAAUUUGCGGUGGGGUAAUUAACCCGCCGACCUUGCACGUCUUUGGAAUGCGGGACGAAACCAACCCAGUCAGAGUCCUAUCUCCAGCCGAUCUGCGGCCUACCAUCGAUGGAGCUGGUGGCCUCCUUGUACUGACUUGAGCCCCUCCACGGAACAUGGACUUAACAUCGGAGCUGAUCCCUUGCCUGGGAUCGUUCCUAACGCGGCCUGCGGACUUACCAUCAAGAGCUCGCAGUCUCGGGAAAGACUAGUCGGGAGCUCCACUGACGCAGAGGCUCGACCAGCCCCGACCCGGGGUCCGAUCGUUGGUGCGGGGGAGCUGACAUCCCCCCCAAUGCAGAGGGCCCAAAUGCCGCAAGCUAUGGGUGUCAAGAUCGUCCCCAUCAACAGAGGGCUCGAGGCCCCCGAACGCAGGAGAAGAAAGAAGGGAAGAGGUUGAACUUUUUUUCGCCUUCCAUCACAGUGAGGAAUGUGGAGGAGUCACUGUGGUGGAUGUUUAUGUUAAAGUGUAUUUUGUAUGUUUCGAUGAC